rnacentral:lncRNA from 1 species
UUUGGAGGAUUCCUGUUUCCAAAGUCAGGACAUUUUUUUACUACAUUAAUUUUACAAUUGUACACGCUGAACAAAGUCUUGGAUGGAGUCUUAUUUUAAAGCAAGGAGAGCUUCCAGUUUCGCUAAACAUUUUUUUAAGCUUUUAAUAGUAAGCUAUAUUUUGAAAGAUCUUCCACCACUCCUGUCACCCAAUCUUCACCCUUUCAGCAGCUCCCUGGCUCAUUUCUUGUGAAAGUGAGGGGAUGUUCCAUCAGUCUUAUCCGUACGGCUCAUCUG